rnacentral:tRNA from 1 species
AUUUGUUUAAUAUAAAAAGUAUAUUUGACUUCCAAUCAAAAAGACUGAUAAAUAUCAGAACAAAUA